UAUUUUAUGAACAUUGAUUGAACAUUUUAACGUGUUUUCUUGGCUCGUAGCGAGUCCCAUUUAAAUUUAUAAACUUAAAUGAACACGUAACACUUUUGGGUACUUUUUAUUUAUUUACAAGCAACGUACAAAGAUGAAACUACCGCGAACAAAAACGGGCAAACGACCAUUAUUACAUUGUCCGCCUCCAAAACUACCGGCAAGGGUGCGUCGGUGAUAUAUGGCCCGUGAAAACUGCUGCAGCACUGGAGGUUAACCCUUUUUGAUUCGGGAGCGCCAAACUCUGUUGGUGCGUGAACUAAUCGGAAAAUAGACCGGAGGUGAGUGCGAGGAAAAUAGACUUUCGAAAAAGCGUCUUUCGACUCGUUCCGCUCAGCAAGCUGCGAUCGACGAUCUUCCGAUUUGGCGAAACACGCGGGUUGUAUUCACGUUCGUAAUCCUAUCCCAAACACGAAAAUUGCAAUUCGAAACACACCUGCCACAGCGAUCCGGUGGUACUUAAGACUACGAGACAUUUUGAUUUUGCACACGUACAACUCAAAUUCAACAAUAGAUGUGAUUAUUACAUGUACCAAAAACGUAAAAUUUUGAACAAAUAAACACCUAAAAUACCUAUACUAUAAUAUAAUGUUGUUGUCGACGUGCGGUUGGAAUGAUGAUACUGCAAAUAAAUAAAAAAUAAAAUAAUACAUUGUGUUUUUUGUGGAUGAUUAAUGGUUGUGUUAUGUUAUAUCUCAUACAUUAUUCUAUAUUUUUGUACUUAGAA